GUUAUUGGGGUCGAAGACAUCAGUCAUGCACCACUCAUACGCAGCAAAACACUGACCAGGUUUCAGUACCCUAUAAAUCUCCUUGUAGCACCCAACCUAUACACAAGUAGGUCAAGUUAACAGCAGCUCGAGUGAAACUCCCCAUAAAAAACCAGAAAAGAUAAUUAUUUAUGUAAAUGAUAACAGAUUAGAAUUUAUAAAUUUACACACAGCAUCUGGAGCAUGGCAGGUUGCUUCAAUUGCAUAUAUGGCAUCAAAACUAUUGUCAGGGAAUGGCAUCUUCAUGAAAUCAGCCUGCAUUGACACUAAGAAAUGAUAAAAAGUCUAGAAAGAUAAAAAUCAGAGACAAAUAUAAGCUUGAUCUCCAAUUUCACUCACUUUCACGAAGUCACAAGUCUUGUCUACUCCUGCAACACGGUUUAGGGCCUGCAACAGUCAAAGAUCACUAAUCAAUAUCAAUUUGAACAGAACAGAAUUGGUGUAGUAUUUGAUAGCAGGGAUUUGAACUAGGAAACAAUGAUACGGAUUAUUUUUAUUUUUUUCAUUUUUCAUUUUUUACUAUUUAUGUUGUAAAGUAAUAUUGGUAUUGUUACUUGCAACAUGAUGACGAUGCAUCGACAACAUAUCUACAAUGUAUCUUCUGGUGUGUCAGUGACUGGCCUAACUCUACAAAAUCAAAAAAUAAUUGGACAUGGCACAGCGUUUCCACUACUUGUAGGUGAUGUGUAGGCGUCAUUGUCAAUGUUCAACACGUGUUAGACUCCGACUCGACAGCUCAGGGAGGAUGCUGGUUCAUACUAGGAUUUGAAGUCUCAAAAUUUGAAUUAAAUAUAAUUUCCAUUCAAAUGUGAACGGACUUUUCGCUAAUUUCAAUUCUAGGACUUCUAUUCCAACCAGUGUUUAGAUAGGAGAUAGAUUUUUAGCAAGUAAAGGUACAUACAUUAAAAGGCAUAGCAGAUCAAAAUCUCAAUACAUACCUUUCCUCUUGUUAUCUGAUACUCAUUGUUGUUGAGGCCUGUAACUGAUGUAGAACUGCAAGACAUCAAAGCAAAAGUAAGAAUCUAACUGGCAGGUCUUGGAAGUAAUUAAAUAAUGGUGGAGUAAAUCUAACAACUACUUGGAUGAUUGAAAAAUUGUAUCCGAUGCUGAUAACAAAAAUCAUCCUGCCAAGAAGUUUUGUCUUCAAGCAGUCUUCAUUAUAAGUGAAAAUGAACAAUGUCUCAACAAUUGACAAACCUUGUGUAGUCAACAAUCAACUAUAGCUUCUCAAUUUGUUCUCUAGUUUUGUUAGUUUAUAUUUAUAUACAUGAUAUAUUGUCCAUUACAUGCAUAAACUUAAGCAUCUUCAUGUUUCAUCACUGAAUGCAACGUAGCAUCCUAUCAAGCACUGGAAUAAUCAAAAUAUCAAUAAAAAACAGUAUGUUAUAAUAAUAGUAUAUGUAUAUCAAGAUGAAUACUGAUUUAGCAAGACAAACAAACAACAAUACAAUGAGCUAAAUUGUCAUCUCACCUGAAUCUAGCAAUUUCUCUUAACGGUCCACCAAUUCCACAUCCUACGUCCAAGACCUACAGAGACAGCAGAAAAUUAAAACAUUGAUUAUCAAAGAAGUGAAAGUCUAGGAUAGUUGCAAACAAAAAUCUUCAAAAUGACACCUUCUGUCCCGGUUUCAGGCCAAGCUGCAAGGCAAGGAAGUGCUCAUGCCUUUUAAUGCUCUCUUUUAGAGACUCUCCUUUCCAUCUGCAACAUAUGACAAUAAUCUCGUUUAGUGAUUCUAGAAGACACAACUGCAAUGCGUCUAGAACUCUCUCUGCUAUAUAGCAUGGAAAAGAAUAACACGAAUGCAGAGUAAUGGUUUAGGUAAUGAGAAAACCUAUAGGAGUAAAAUAUUCACCUGGGCGCAAAGUGGAAUGAUUCUCCCCAGCCAUAUUCGUAGAAACUUGUGACAAGAUCAUAGUACUUAUUUACCUGAGAAUGUGAAGUAUUCUUAGUCGAAGAUAUUUAUAGUUAAAUCAAAGUAAUCUCAUAUCCAAAAUACCUGAACAUAGUCGAGCAUAUUUUGCACACUAGCACAUAAUCACUUAAACACAUCAAACAAUUCUAAAAGUUCUAAAUACCUUAAUUUUGAGAAAAAAGAAGCUAUGAUUAUACAAAAGAGAAAAAACUACAAGAGAAAUCAAUGUGAAAAUUGGGUAAGUGAAUCCUCUCACCAUAUCGGUGUAGUUCGAUUUUCUCUCUUCCUCUUCACCUCCAUAACAAACAUGAUAUUUUUCAUACCUGUUACAUAGGAGCAAAAGGAAGACCAUAUAUUCAAAUAGGGGCGUCAAAUAAAAAGAAAAAGCUGUCAAAUUGAGCCUUCAGAAAAGAUAAUUAAGAAAUCUAGGAAAAGAAACCAAAUAACUUCAAAUUAGAAUGUUGCAAGUGCAAGAAGUACAAGGUCGAUGUGUAUUUCUGUAUAUAGCUUCUUCUUUUUUCCUUUUUUUUUUUCCUAAGUAAGAAUAUCAUAACAUCAUUGAAGAAUUGCAAAAGAGCUGAAAUUUUGAUUUUUGUUGAAGGAAAAAUUAAAUUUUCGGAAUUAUUCUGAAAUAAACUACUUAGUAAAAUUAAAUUUGAACACAUUACUUCUAUAUUUCGGAUAAGAGGCUCAGAACAAUAUAAAUUAAAUCAACUACAGGCACAGAAUAAUCUUACUGUCCACCAGCAACAAGUCCUUCUGCUGCUUUCUCCAAGAAAGCUUGAACCCGUUGACUUCCCUGUGGAGCAAGUCCCACCUUUUCAAGACCCAUGACCUGCAAUGGUAGAUGACGAACUCAAGUAACUUUUGGUUUAACACAGAACAAAAAAUACACGGGAAAAUUCAACUAAUUGAUACAAAUUCCAGUUAAUAUGGCAAAGAAAAUGGAAUGAGAAAAUCAAGUAGAUGUACAGAUUUUACCAUGUUUUUGGUGAUAAACCGUCCGAUUGCUGUCAAACGGAAACUGCUGAGCGAGAAGUGACUUUUAUCCAGAGGCAAGUACCAUGGGAGGGGCGAGUCCACUGCAAGAUCCUUCUCCCACACAACCUUCAAAAGCCAGAAAAAAGAAAAAAGAUUCCCUUUAUUAGUCCCUUGUUUUAAAUAUAUUUCAUGCAACCUAGCCAACCAGCAGCAUAGCCAAGAUUGUACCACUCACUUCAAAACCUGCUUUUUUAACAGCUUCAAGGCAUUGAUGUGUCAGCCUUAUAUCAGGAAGGCCAUUACCUAAUUCAAUUUCGGCCUGCAUCCAUAAAAAUUAUUCAAGUUAAAGCAUGAUGUAGAAACUCAAAAGCAUGCUUUGUGAUAUGAGUAUAUGACAAGCACCUUGAUCUUUUUGUGCUCUUGGUUAUUGGGGUCGAAGACAUCAGUCAUGCACCACUCAUACGCAGCAAAACACUGACCAGGUUUCAGUACCCUAUAAAUCUCCUUGUAGCACCCAACCUAUACACAAGUAGGUCAAGUUAACAGCAGCUCGAGUGAAACUCCCCAUAAAAAACCAGAAAAGAUAAUUAUUUAUGUAAAUGAUAACAGAUUAGAAUUUAUAAAUUUACACACAGCAUCUGGAGCAUGGCAGGUUGCUUCAAUUGCAUAUAUGGCAUCAAAACUAUUGUCAGGGAAUGGCAUCUUCAUGAA
rnacentral:lncRNA from 1 species